ACUCCUACGGGAGGCAGCAGUAGGGGAAUACAUAGGUCAACGGACGGAAGUCUGAACCAGCCAUCCCGCGUGCAGGAAGAAGGAUCUUUGGUCUGUAAACUGCUUUUCUCAGGGAAGAGAGAUAGAGAUUAAUCUUUAGAGGACGGUGACUUGACGAAUAAGCACCGGCUAACUCCGUGCCAGCAGCCGCGGUAAU
rnacentral:rRNA from 1 species